rnacentral:ncRNA from 1 species
UCCUAAACUUACACAUGCAAGUCUCAGCACACCUGUGAGGACGCCCUUUCCCCUUCACCAGACCGAGGAGCUGGCAUCAGGCACCCAAACUAGCCCAUUACGCCUAGUCCUACCACACCCUCAAGGGUUUACAGCAGUGAUAAACAUUGUUUAUAAGCGACAGCUUGACCCAGUUAUAGGAAAAAGAGCUGGCCAACUCGGUGCCAGCCGCCGCGGCUAAACCGCACGAGCUCAAGUUGAUAGUCGUCGGCGUUAAGCGUGAUUAAAGAUUUUUCCUAAUUAGAAUUUAACCUGUACUUAGCUGUAAUAAGCUUGCCUCCGGGAAAACCAAAAACGAAAGUUAUUCUAAUCUUCUUGAAUACACGACAGCCGGGAAACAAACUGGGAUUAGAUACCCCACUAUGCCCAACCGUAAAAUAUUAACCUACACCCACUAACGCCAGGGUAUUACGAGCCCUAGCUUAAAACCCAAAGGACUUGACGGUGUCCCAUCCAACUAGAGGAGCCUGUUCUAUAAUCGAUAACCCCCGAUACACCUAACCCCCCCUUGCCAAUCAGCCUGUAUACCUCCGUCGCAAGCUUACCAUAUGAAUGCCAACAGUAAGUUUAAAGGUCACAACACCCACACGUCAGGUCAAGGUGCAGCUAAUGGAGGGGCAAGCAAUGGGCUACAAUUUCUAAUCUAGAACACACGAAAUGCUUCAUGAAACAACCACGAAGGUGGAUUUAGCAGUAAAAAGAAAAUAAAACGUCCUUUUUAACAGAGCCCUGGGACGUGUACACACCGCCCGUCACCCUCUUCAAUAGUAAACUCUAUGUUACUAACAACCUUUAACGCUUUAGAAGAGGCAAGUCGUAACAUGGUAAGUGUACCGGAAGGUGCACUUGGAUCAAC